ACGGGUGAGUAACACGUGGGCAAUCUGCCCUUCACUCUGGGACAAGCCCUGGAAACGGGGUCUAAUACCGGAUAAUACUCUCCUCCUCCUGGGGGUGGGUUAAAAGCUCCGGCGGUGAAGGAUGAGCCCGCGGCCUAUCAGCUUGUUGGUGGGGUAAUGGCCUACCAAGGCGACGACGGGUAGCCGGCCUGAGAGGGCGACCGGCCACACUGGGACUGAGACACGGCCCAGACUCCUACGGGAGGCAGCAGUGGGGAAUAUUGCACAAUGGGCGAAAGCCUGAUGCAGCGACGCCGCGUGAGGGAUGACGGCCUUCGGGUUGUAAACCUCUUUCAGCAGGGAAGAAGCGCAAGUGACGGUACCUGCAGAAGAAGCACCGGCUAACUACGUGCCAGCAGCCGCGGUAAUACGUAGGGUGCGAGCGUUGUCCGGAAUUAUUGGGCGUAAAGAGCUCGUAGGCGGUCUGUCACGUCGGAUGUGAAAGCCCGGGGCUUAACCCCGGGUCUGCAUUCGAUACGGGCAGACUAGAGUGUGGUAGGGGAGAUCGGAAUUCCUGGUGUAGCGGUGAAAUGCGCAGA
rnacentral:rRNA from 1 species